rnacentral:tRNA from 1 species
AAUUAAGAAUCAAUUAAUUGAGUUCAAUUUCGGCUUGAAAAUUAGAUUUAUAAUCCUUAAUUU